rnacentral:rRNA from 1 species
UACGAAGGGUGCAAACGUUGCUCGGAAUCAUUGGGCGUAAAGCGCACGUAGGCGGCCUCAUAAGUCGGAUGUGAAAUCCCACGGCUCAACCGUGGAAGUGCAUCCGAAACUGCGAGGCUCGAGUAUGGAAGAGGGUCGCAGAAUUCCCGGUGUAGAGGUGAAAUUCGUAGAUAUCUGGAGGAAUACCGGUGGCGAAGGCGGCAUCCUGGACCGGCAUUGACGCUGAGGAGCGAAAGCCAGGGGAAGCCAAAGCGGGG